AAGGUUCUUAGCGAGGAUGGUAGCCAACUUACGUUCCGCUAGAGUAGAAC
rnacentral:rRNA from 1 species